AGAGGCUGAGCAAGUUCCGCGGCCGCCGGUGCGGGCUCGCAGCCCCAUGCGGUCCAGGACAGCCAAGGGGGAGAAAAGAGGGAGGUCCGCUGCCUAGCUCUUGCGAAUCGUUGUUCCUUCCCCCUGUGCCGGCUCCUAAGACAAGCUAAUACUGACCCCGGUAGUCUUAGCGUUGGUUUUCCAGGAACUAUUGCUGCUCACUGGGAAGCCGAGAGCCAUACGUGAGCGUUCCCCCCUUCGGCGGCUGCACUAUAGUGCGGUCCCCGCUUCGCCAGCCAUAAGGCAAGCGAGAAGGGACGCACUUCUCCCGGCUUGCAAAGCGGUAGGGAGACGAUCGGGCCGCUGGCCGCUGUCUCGGCGUUCAGCAAUAGAGGCCUUCCCGGAUCUCCCGAGAGGCGGGGAGCGAGCCUGGGUCCAGCAGCCUUCUCCCUCCCGAGAACAGCAGAAAGGGGGGACUCGACAGAAUGACCUCUGUUUCCCCAAGGAAGUGCACUCUGACGAUAACCUCGGGAGGGACGAGAAGGGCCGCUCUUUCGGAGAGCGGCCGCCGCCCCUGGAGUAGGGGACUCAGUGGCCACGAAGGCCUUCCCUGCUCGCGACCUUUCCACGGGAAGGCACGAAGCUUCCGAUGGGGGCCCCGGGGCGCUCCUGACUUUUCUACGGCGCGAGGGCUCUGACUCUGCGGUUCAGGUUUGAAAGUCCUUUGGAAGCUCGCAAGUGGUGGUCUCCCACCACCUCCUCGGUCAUCGCAGGAAGAAGGCGCAGUGAGGGCGGGAGUCUGGAUGAGCGGAGAGUAGCCACCGCGGAGAAGAGUGCGGGCUUGCAGGAGCCGACGAAGAUAACUCGAAAUGUGGGCAGGCAGGUGUUGGUGGGUCUUGAAAGUGGGAAAGCACGAGAAAAGAACAAUGUUCGCGUCCGCUUAGAAUACGGAAACAAGUGAGCUUUAAAGGAAAAUACUCAUUCUCAUUACCCCUGUCCAGGAAGAAGAGUGCUGAUCUGCUGCUUCCAGUCCGCUGGGCUGGAGAGCAGAAAGAGGCUACUUGAUCCCAGCCAAGCCAGUGUCUGUCCCCCAGCAAGCACUUCUGCCUUGGUGUGAUCCCCAUUCCUUUUCUAAAAAUACAAAAUAAUAAGAAGUCCUGGAAGGAAAUACACUAAAAUGUUCCCAGUGGUUAAUCAUGCGUACAGUAGUAGAUUAUAUGCAGCUUUCAUUUUCUGCUUUAGACUUUUGUCUAUUUUCCACAACUUUUCUAAAGUUUCUACAAAGGCCAUAUAUUUCCACCAUAAGCAGAAAAAAUGAAAACGUAAGCAUUUAAAUGGCACAUACAAUAUAAUCUCAAUAGUAUAAACAUGCAUACAAAAGACAGGAAGGAGAUAUGAAGAACUGCUAACAGUAUGUUAUUUUUCACAACUAGGAUAUAGUCUCCUGUCCUGCUUUACCUUUCAGGUAUUUUCAUCUGAUAAAUAGAGAAACAGUUUAAAAUAAAUUCAGUCAUCCUGUUCAAUAGCCAAGAGGUUCCAAAAUGAGAUAAUGAAUUUAAAAGCCUUCGGGAACUAUAAAGAAAAGUAAUGCAUUAGUAUUAUUUUGAAGAUAAGUUUACAAUAUUUCUUACUGUAAAUUAUCAAAUCACUUUUGGGUGCAUUGUCAGUCUUUCUGUACAUGGAUUCGUUUCACUGUGGCAAAGGCAACUUGCAGAUAAGCUGAUAAAGAUUCCAGAACUACAAAUCAAACUAGGCCCUGGAGUAGCAGUAAAAUUCCAAACCCAAAGGCCCAUCCAGUCUGUCCACUACAUUCCUAUAUUGAUGAGAGCAGAACAGACACUCAUGAGAGACAUGACUUCUGCUUCCCCCAUAACUAAGAAGAGAGAUUACCAUACUGAUGAUCUCCCUGGAGGUUUCAUAGCAAGGUUUGACUUGAUGAAUUAAUUAAUAAAGCUAAAUAUCCUGAAGAUUUGGUGGAAAUAUGCUUUGACAUUUACAUCUAAGUGUUCAUCCGUGAAAAUCAAUAAAAUAUUUUUUCAUGCAG
rnacentral:lncRNA from 1 species